GGCCCAAAUUUGAAGUAGAAAAGAUUAUUAGGAUCAGGUGACCCUACAAAACUACUCUACUUCAAGUUUGUGCCC
rfam:Haemonchus placei strain MHpl1 genome assembly, scaffold: HPLM_scaffold0005804